UACAGAGGGGGCCAGCGUUAUUCGGAAUUAUUGGGCGUAAAGGGCGCGUAGGCGGCUUUGCGUGUCUUUCGUGAAAUCCCUCGGCUCAACUGAGGACGUGCGGAAGAAACUGCAGGGCUGGAGUCCGGGAGAGGAGGGUGGGAUUCCCAGUGUAGCGGUGAAAUGCGUAGAUAUCUGGAGGAACACCGGUGGCGAAGGCGGCAUCCUGGACCGGCAUUGACGCUGAGGCGCGAAAGCGUGGGGAGCAAACAGG
rnacentral:rRNA from 1 species